rnacentral:rRNA from 1 species
GGCAGCAGUCGAGAAUCAUUCGCAAUGGGGGAAACCCUGACGGUGCGACGCCGCGUGGAGGAUGAAGGCCCUAGGGUUGUAAACUCCUGUCAUCGGGGAGUAAGACUCACGGUUUAAUAGAUCGUGGGGUUGAUAGUACCCGAAGAGGAAGAGACGGCUAACUCUGUGCCAGCAGCCGCGGUAAUACAGAGGUCUCAAGCGUUGUUCGGAAUCACUGGGCGUAAAGCGUAUGUAGGCUGUACGGUAAGUCAGAUGUGAAAGCCCAGGGCUCAACCCUGGAACUGCAUCCGAUACUGCCAUACUAGAGUAGUGGAGGGGUAUAUGGAAUUCACGGUGUAGCAGUGAAAUGCGUAGAUAUCGUGAGGAACACUGGCGGCGAAGGCGAUAUACUGGACACUCACUGACGCUGAGAUACGAAGGCUAGGGUAGCGAAAGGGAUUAGAUACCCCUGUAGUCCUAGCAGUAAACGGUGCACGUUUGGUGUGGGGCGGUUCGACCCGUUCCGUGCCGGAGCUAACGCGUUAAACGUGCCGCCUGGGGAGUACGGCCGCAAGGCUAAAACUCAAAGGAAUUGACGG